CAUUUUUCAAAAUUUUCCCUUUCUUAUUUUUUCAUCUUCUUUAUUGUUUCACUUCAGCAGCCGGACAUCUCUAACAUGCUAGGGCUACUUAAAAUCACUCUCUAAUUAACCGUAACAAUGGUGUUCAAGAACAAACUCUUCUUCUCUCCCAAGAAAUCCUCCGCCUUCGGUGGAUCUGACUCUCCUCGAUCCUUCGGAUCCAACUCCCCAAUCCGAUCAAUUCUCGAAAACAAUUGGGAGAAUUGCAAAAAUAGCUCGGAGAGAAACAGAUGUUUGAAGAUUCCGUCUCCAAGAUCAAUUAUCUUCUUCACGAUCAAUUUCCCUCUGCUUCUCCACCUCUUCGCAAUCUGAUUUUGGAGUUAGGGAAAUUAUAGGGAAAUUCAUUGAGACAGCUCUUCGCUUUUCUUCGAAGCUAUUUUGUGAGAACCCUAGUGUCUUAAAACAAUGAAGAAGUCCCAUGAGAGCAUCAACAGUAGGCUUGCUUGUUUCAUGAAGAGUGGCAAGUACACUUUGGGUAACAAAAUUGUGCUUCACACCCUUAGAAGCUCCAAAGCAAAGCUGGUUACCAUUACCAACAAUCGCCCUCCUUGAGGCUGUCUGAGAUAGAGUACAAUGUGAUGUUGGCUAAAGUUGAGGUUCAACACUACAAUAGGAGUAAGUUUCUUAAUCUUCUUAUUGCCUUCUACUCAUAUGCAAAGUAUAUUUGUUCUUUGGCUUCCCUUUUACUUUCCUGUUAUUUAUGGUUGUUUAGGUUUUAAAUUCGACAUAUAAAGUCAUGCAUAAUACUAGUAAACUUUGAUUAGAGGGUUGUUCGUUUUCUAAUUAUGUCCAAUUCCUGUUGGCAGCGUGAAAGAAGGAUUAGAUUUUAUUAAAGAGGCUAUCAUUAGAACAGGGUAUGGUGAGAAGAUAAAGAUAGCUAUCGAUGUUGUUGGUACUGAUUUUUGC